AGUGAACGCUGGCGGUAGGCCUAACACAUGCAAGUCGAACGGCAGCACAGUAAGAGCUUGCUCUUACGGGUGGCGAGUGGCGGACGGGUGAGGAAUACAUCGGAAUCUACUUUUUCGUGGGGGAUAACGUAGGGAAACUUACGCUAAUACCGCAUACGACCUACGGGUGAAAGCAGGGGAUCUUCGGGCCUUGCGCGAUUGAAUGAGCCGAUGUCGGAUUAGCUAGUUGGCGGGGUAAAGGCCCACCAAGGCGACGAUCCGUAGCUGGUCUGAGAGGAUGAUCAGCCACACUGGAACUGAGACACGGUCCAGACUCCUACGGGAGGCAGCAGUGGGGAAUAUUCGACAAUGGGCGCAAGCCUGAUGCAGCCAUACCGCGUGAGUGAAGAAGGCCUUCGGGUUGUAAAGCCCUUUUGUUGGGAAAGAACAGCAGCAGGUUAAUACCCCGCUGUUCUGACGGUACCCAAAGAAUAAGCACCGGCUAACUUCGUG
rnacentral:rRNA from 1 species